UACAGAGGGUGCAAGCGUUAAUCGGAUUUACUGGGCGUAAAGGGCGCGUAGGCGGUGAUGUGAGUGUGAUGUGAAAGCCCCGGGCUUAACCUGGGAAGUGCAUCGCAAACGACAUGACUGGAGUAGAUGAGAGGGUGGCGGAAUUUCCGGUGUAGCGGUGAAAUGCGUAGAGAUCGGAAGGAACGUCAAUGGCGAAGGCAGCCACCUGGCAUCAUACUGACGCUGAGGCGCGAAAGCGUGGGGAGCGAACAGG
rnacentral:rRNA from 2 species